GGGGGUAUAGCUCAAGUCGUAGAGUGCACGCUUAGCGAGCAUGAGGUCCCGGGUUCCAUCCCCAGUGCCUUCU
rnacentral:tRNA from 1 species